rnacentral:rRNA from 1 species
AGUGAACGCUGGCGGUAGGCCUAACACAUGCAAGUCGAACGGCAGCACAGUAAGAGCUUGCUCUUACGGGUGGCGAGUGGCGGAUGGGUGAGGAAUACAUCGGAAUCUACUUUUUCGUGGGGGAUAACGUAGGGAAACUUACGCUAAUCCCGCAUACGACCUACGGGUGAAAGCAGGGGACCUUCGGACCUUGCGCGAUUCAAUGAGGCGAUGUCGGAUUAGCUAGUUGGAGGGGUAAAGGCCCACCAAGGCGACGAUCCGUAGCUGGUCUGAGAGGAUGAUCAGCCACACUGGAACUGAGACACGGUCCAGACUCCUACGGGAGGCAGCAGUGGGGAAUAUUGGACAAUGGGCGCAAGCCUGAUCCAGCCAUGCCGCGUGUGUGAAGAAGGCCUUCGGGUUGUAAAGCCCUUUUGUUGGGAAAGAAAAGCAGCAAGUUAAUACCCCGCUGUUCUGACGGUACCCAAAGAAUAAGCACCGGCUAACUUCGUG